rnacentral:rRNA from 1 species
UACGUCGGAGGCGAGCGUUGUCCGGAUUCAUUGGGCGUAAAGAGCGCGCAGGCGGUUUGGCAAGUCGGAUGUGAAAACCCGGAGCUCAACUCCGGACCUGCAUCCGAAACUGCCCGACUAGAGGUAGGUAGGGGAGAUCGGAAUUCCUGGUGUAGCGGUGAAAUGCGCAGAUAUCAGGAGGAACACCGGUGGCGAAGGCGGAUCUCUGGGCCGUACCUGACGCUGAGGUGCGAAAGCUAGGGGAGCGAACAGG